UACGUAGGGUGCGAGCGUUGUCCGGAAUUAUUGGGCGUAAAGGGCUCGUAGGCGGUUUGUCGCGUCGGGAGUGAAAUCAUCUGGCUUAACUGGGUGCUUGCUUUCGAUACGGGCAGACUAGAGGUAUGCAGGGGAGAACGGAAUUCCUGGUGGAGCGGUGAAAUGCGUAGAUAUCGGAAGGAACGCCGGUGGCGAAAGCGACGUGCUGGAUACCUACUGACGCUGAGGCGCGAAAGCCAGGGGAGCAAACGGG
rnacentral:rRNA from 1 species